GAUGAAGAACGCAGCAAAAUGCGAUAAGUAAUGUGAAUUGCAGAAUUCAGUGAAUCAUCGAAUCUUUGAACGCACAUUGCGCCCGCCAGUAUUCUGGCGGGCAUGCCUGUUCGAGCGUCAUUUCAACCCUCAAGCACAGCUUGGUGUUGGGACUCGCGUUAAUUCGCGUUCCCCAAAUUGAUUGGCGGUCACGUCGAGCUUCCAUAGCGUAGUAGUAAAACCCUCGUUACUGGUAAUCGUCGCGGCCACGCCGUUAAACCCCAACUUCUGAAUGUUGACCUCGGAUCAGGUAGGAAUACCCGCUGAACUUAAGCAUAUCAUAAGCGGAGGA
rnacentral:misc_RNA from 1 species